rnacentral:pre_miRNA from 1 species
UUACCGGCGGUCUCUAAUUCGCUUGGUGCAGGUCGGGAACUGAUUGGCUAGUUUUUUUUUGAAAUUUUUUGACAGCGAGGUGGCGUGUUGUAAUUGGUCGUAACGUUUAAAUUAAUGAUUGAAAAAAUGCGAAUUGGAUCCCGCCUUGCAUCAACUGAAUCGGAGACCGAGGUGAGA